rnacentral:rRNA from 1 species
GAGACUCUGUGCGCGUGCAUAUCAAUAAGCGGAGGAAAAGAAACUAACAAGGAUUCCCCUAGUAACGGCGAGUGAAGCGGGAAGAGCUCAAAUUUGAAAUCUUAAAGGGUUUCUACCUUGACGAAUUGUAGUUUAUAAGAAGUGUUUUCUGUUAGUGGAGUUUCGGUAAAAGUUCUUUGGAAUAGGACAUCAUAGAGGGUGAGAAUCCCGUAUUUGAGUCAUUCCUUACUUCCUAGCUGUGUGAUACACUUUCAAGAGUCGGAUUGUUUGGGAAUGCAGUACCAAAAUGGGUGGUAAAUUUCAUCUAAAGCUAAAUAUUGGCGAGAGACCGAUAGCGAACAAGUACCGUGAGGGAAAGAUGAAAAGAACUUUGAAAAGAGAGUUAAACAGUACGUGAAAUUGUCAAAGAGGGAAGCGUUUGACACCAGUGUUGUUUAGUUGAAAAUCAAUUCAAUAAUUUUUGAUUUUAAGUAGUAUUGACUUCAUCAGCUUGCUGCUUUCUUUUCAGGAAAUUAUUGAAUGCACUUUUCAGUUAACAAGUCAACAUCAAUUUCUUUUGUUGUAAAAGGGUAAGAGGAAGGUGGCUUACGCUUCGGCGUAAGUGUUUAUAGCCUUUUACCUCUGCAAUCGGAGAGAUUGAGGACAGCAGCGUAGACUCUUCAGGGGUUAGAUACACUUGUGCUAAGCUAUAGCCUUGUAUAGACAACUUGUUGACUAUGCUCAGUCAUGUAGCUUACUCGCUUGUGCUAUUUUACCUACGCUUAGGAUGUUGACAGCAGUAUAGACUGU